AUGCGGUGAGCCCUAGCGGUGCUUCUAGCUUUCCUGUAUCCUGAGCCAGUCAGAAAUCUUCCAACUUGGAAGGGAGAAUGAAGUCAGUCACCAGGCCGACUGGGUCAUCUGCUGAAAUCACUUGUGACCUUACUGUAAUAAAUGCCGUCUACAUCCACUGGUACCUACAGCAGGAGGGGAAGACCCCACAGCAUCUUCUGCACUAUGAUGUCUCCAACUCAAGGGAUGUGUUGGAAUCAGGUCUCAGUCUUGGAAAGUAUUAUACUCAUACACCGAGGAGGUGGAGCUGGAAUUUGAGACUGCAAAAUCUAAUUGAAAAUGAUUCUGGGGUCUAUUACUGUGCCACCUGGGGCAGG